UGUAAACUUUAAAAUACCCAUAAAAGAAAGACGCACAAAAAGGGACUGAAAACAUCCUCCACAUGUAGGUCAGGCCUAGCAGAGCGCAAAGAAAGUGGACGCGGUGCUGACCGCUUCACAUAACCAUCAAGGAAGCUCAGUAGGAAGCUAUCAGUUUGAGAGUUACACGCUUGGUGCCCUUCAGGAGGACUGGAUGAAUAUUGGAAGAGUUUAUCUCAGCCAUAUCAUACUACGAAGUGGUCCAGCCUAAACAUGCAACUCUGUUUUGGUCAGUUGCUUGGAAUCCUGAAUACCGUUAAAGACAAAAGAACAAAGAGGAGGAAAUCAUCUUACGAGCACGGUGAGGACGACACAGCGCUCAGGAGAUUCCUACAUGCACUUGGCCUCCUGUCCCUCCUCAUUUCUGCACCCCGACGCAUCUUUGGGUUUAUCUGGACCCAAAACCCUCCGCGGCGAACAAAAAUGCAGUCCCUCCUAAUGCUUUGCCUUUAUUUAGUCUGAUUAUUAAGGCAACACCCUGGAUGUUUGCUUGUCUCAUCGGAAAGUGAUAUAACUCAUCCCGAGAUUCAUUAAUGAAUGCUUGACUUUCUCCCAAAAGAGAGGGUGUUUCUUAUUAAAAGGAUGAAUCAAAUAUGACUUAGGCUGUGAAAAGUGGGCAUGCUGCGAGAGGGACUCACAGCUUUCCCCAAAAUGUUAAAUUAAUACAACUCUACGUGUAUACUUUCUUUUUUAAGUUGGUAACUAAAUGAGUUUACUCAAGAGGCUUUAAAUGCGUGCGCGUUUCUCUGCCCUUCUGGGCUGAGAGAUGCGCAAACAGCACGUGUUAAUGAAAGCGCCUCUGCAUGUUUUGCCAUUUUAUAAUUAAACUGUUUUAAUUGGGAUAAUUUUUUUUAUCUUGAAGUGCACAUGUGCGCUUUGCAGGAUAUUCAUGUGAAUAUGCACAUUUCAAACGUGUUGUACGUGUGUGAUGGGUGAUCAAUAAAGAGCAGAAAUUAACGUGAGCCAUCUUGUUUAUUUGUGAUUUUACAUCAACAACGGUGGAGGGGAGGGGGCGGGGGCACACAGUUCCGUCUUUCACAGGAGAAACAACAGGAAACGAGCAUAUUGUUAACAUCAAUAUAGAACAAGACUUACAUAAAGAUUAUAUUCAGUGCAAAACAACUACGCUAUAUCACCAACACAUUAAAGUAAAUUGACCUCACUUUAAAGACGUUGUAAUUGUAGCAGGUACGCAAUAAGUGUGCGUCAUAGGCAGUUUUAGUUGUUGGGGAAAUAUAGCUUGCAAUCACGUCGGAGCGAUGCCGCACUUGUGCGGAAGGUAAACUCCGCAAAGGCAAAGCUCUGAGAUUAGGUAGUGCCGUGGUAAAAUCUCUCAAUUGUUCGCUUGGCUUUCAGCUACUUGUCCUCCCAAGACUCCAAAAAAUUGUCUUCAACAAGUGUUUAUUGUAUACUGGGUAAAAGCUACAUACACAUAACUUAAUCAUAAAAGAUUGAUAUAGAACACUAAAAAA